AAUUGAUGAUGUGGGCAACCAAUCAAUAAAGUUUUAUAUCGCUCCCAAGCCUUAAAAAGUGGUUCUCCCUUGUUCUGCCUGAAAUGGAAAAUCUGAUCCCUAAGCCU